GGGGCCUCCCAGUUGACGCUGUAGGAAGUAACAUCCAAAGCUUUAAGUUUCCUACAGACCAAAUGCCGAGAAGCUAAUGUAAUUCAAUUCCGAGGCUCGUUGAAAUGCCUAAGCAUGCUCUUGAAACCUUUGGCAGGAGUAGCAAUUUCAUACAUCAGGCCUGGAAUUAUUCAACUACGGGAAGAGCCAGCGGAAAACACAGUGACACAUUAUAAGCAUACAGCCGAAUGCCUGAUCACACGGGCACAAACCUACGAUUCCUCCAUCCAGGAUGGGAUGACAUUGAACAGCGCAGACACCUUCGAAGCCCUCUGACCUCUUCCCCAUGCCUUUCCUGCCCAUAGAUAACCAUCGUGUUGGCUUCUAACAUGACAGAUUAGUACUUGAGUCUUAUGCAAAACGAAUCAUAUAUACAUAUUCUUUGUGUCUUGUUCCUUUCACUCAUGACGAUGCUGGUAAGUCUCAUCUCUUGCGUGUAGUGGCGGUUUGUUCGUUACUUUGUGACGCCCCAUCGUAUUCCACAAUCUAUUGUCUCUCCACUGCACUGUGAUAAAAACUGUCCAUUUAUGGGGCACCUGGGUGGCUCAGUUUCAUGACAUUUGUAUGACAAUAUGGGGGCGAACUGGCAUACAAGGUGGGUCUCUCCCCUGUAACUUUCUCUGACGUCAUAUAUUUUUCGGCGUACCAAACAUUGCAUGACAGUGACUUCCACGUCUGUAACAGGAAUCUACGUAACUUGUAAAGAUGUUAUAUUAAGUCAUGUGGUACUUUUGCUCUUUUUAAAAAAAGUUUAAAGCAAUCGUAAAAUUAUAAACAGGUUGUGAGACAGGACGAGGCUUUUAAAACUCCUGAACUAUUCAAUGCUUCAUUUCCUCUAAAUAUUUUCAUCUUCAUCUCCUACGAAUGCUGACGUCUUCCUACCUAACAGCGAUUAAAAUCAUGUCAUUAACACUGAUACAGUAAUAAUAUUUAGUUGAGGCUGCAUUUGAAUUUCUCUGAUUGUCCCAAUGACAUCCCACAGCAAAGGAAUACAGUUCAGAAUCAGCAUGUUUAGUUGUUGGGUCUCUUUAAUCUACCCCAGCCUGGAUGAGUUCCUCAAUAUUUGACUUUGGGGGACCGGGCACUUUUGGAGAUGACAGGCCAGUUAUUUUGCAAAAUGUUCUUGGUUUGGGUUUGUCUGCUGUUCCUCAUGAUUAGAUUUUGGAGUUGAGUUUGGUCAGUGUGAUGGGCAACUGGACAGAAGCGACCCCGGAGAGCUGGUAAGCAUCAUCCCCCGGUGUGUCUGUGAGGGGGUGCAUGCAGGAGACGAGCAUUUGAUGCCGUAAAGAGACCCACCCUCACCACCGUGGGGGGCACGGCCCCAUCCAUGGGGGGCCACCAUCCCAUCCGUGGGGGGACAUGGUCCCUUCCGUGGGGGACCUGAUGGGACAACAAACCGAAGGAAGGGAAAGUUUCUCUCUCUUUUCUCGAGCUGAACAUUCAUUUCUUCCCCCCACCCCGUCAACCACCGGGGCUUCUAGUCCUCAGGCCGAGUGACACCAGAGGCUUCCCGGGUUCUCCAGCCUGCACAUGGCAGGUGGCAGGACUUCUAGGCGACCGGAACUGCGUGAGCCAAUCCGUGUGAUAAAUGUCCCCUUCCAUGCCGACCUGUAUAUCCUAUCGGGUUCGUUUUCUGGAGAACCCUAACACAGGAAUACAAUGGUGGGGCUGUUCUCCUACAUCUUACACGGAGGCUCAAAAACUUUAUUUGUUCUGCUGCUGAAGAUGAUGAAUUGGAUCACAGUGAUGAAUGCAGUGUCUGCCAGGGUCCCUCCUGUGAAGACACUUGUUUACUCCUUGUAAUUAAUGAACGUGUUUUUUUUUUUUUUUUUAUGGGGAGGGGUUUCCAAACCGUGUGGUAUAACCCGUCCCUUACGCGUGGAGGUAUGUAUGUAGCUAUCGGGGACUACUGGUUUCCUAUUGUAUCCAAUGAAUUACAAUUUUAUUUAUUUGUUUGUUGUAUUCUGAUGUUUCAAUGGUCCCAGAUUUGGCCACUGGAGGUGCUUCAACUUGGUUUCUGUGUCCUUUUGCACAUCAUUUUUUGAGCACUUUUUUUGGUUUGUUUUCAAGAAUCGCAAGAUAUUCCAGGUACUUUUUUUUUUUUUUUUUUUUUUACUUUCUUUGUCCCAGAUCUAGAAUCAGCCCAUUCUCCAGGGAGCCUGGUUCCUUCUGGCACACCAUGGUGUUAAGAAUGUACUAUGUGUGCAGCACUAGAUGUAAUCAUGCUGCUGGGGCCCGGCUACUCCCAGGCCUGGCGGUAGAGUGGGACACUAUGCGAAUAUGUGUACAUGUACGAUAGGGGCGUGUAUGUGCAUGAGUGAGUGUGUGCAUGUACACGUCUAUUUGCUUCUAUACAUUUCUGCAUAUUUUGAAGAAUGUUAGCUCACACUGACAACUCUAAUUAUGAUCUCAUACCAUAGCAUUAAUUCUAGCUUUCUUCUCCCUUGCAAUCCAAAAAAAAUUUUUUUAACUGUUUAAUCUUGAGAGAGAGAGAAAGAGAGAGAGAGAGCAGGAGAGAAGCAGAGAGAGAGAGAGGGA